rnacentral:rRNA from 1 species
GUUCACGAGUUCAGACUCGUAGCAGAUAGCUCAGUAACACGUGGCCAAACUACCCUAUGGAUCCGGAUAACCUCGGGAAACUGAGGCUAAUUCGGAAUAGCGUUCAUCGCCUGGAGUGGCACGAACGCGAAACGUUCAGGCGCCAUAGGAUGUGGCUGCGGCCGAUUAGGUAGACGGUGGGGUAACGGCCCACCGUGCCCAUAAUCGGUACGGGUUGUGAGAGCAAGAGCCCGGAGACGGUAUCUGAGACAAGAUACCGGGCCCUACGGGGCGCAGCAGGCGCGAAACCUUUACACUGCACGCGAGUGCGAUAAGGGGACUCCAAGUGCGAGGGCAUAUAGUCCUCGCUUUUCACGACCGUAAGGUGGUCGUAGAAUAAGUGCUGGGCAAGACCGGUGCCAGCCGCCGCGGUAAUACCGGCAGCACAAGUGAUGACCGCUAUUAUUGGGCCUAAAGCGUCCGUAGCUGGCCACGCAAGUUCGUCGGGAAAUCUGCGCGCUUAACGCGCAGGCGUCCGACGGAAACUGUAUGGCUUGGGACCGGAAGACCAGAAGGGUACGUCCGGGGUAGGAGUGAAAUCCCGUAAUCCUGGACGGACCACCGGUGGCGAAAGCGCCUCUGGAAGACGGAUCCGACGGUGAGGGACGAAAGCUCGGGUCACGAACCGGAUUAGAUACCCGGGUAGUCCGAGCUGUAAACGAUGUCUGCUAGGUGUGGCACAGGCUACGAGCCUGUGCUGUGCCGUAGGGAAGCCGUGAAGCAGACCGCCUGGGAAGUACGUCCGCAAGGAUGAAACUUAAAGGAAUUGGCGGGGGAGCACUACAACCGGAGGAGCCUGCGGUUUAAUUGGACUCAA